rnacentral:rRNA from 1 species
AACGCUAGCUACAGGCUUAACACAUGCAAGUCGAGGGGUAGCAGGGUAGCAAUACCGCUGACGACCGGCGCACGGGUGAGUAACACGUAUCCAACCUUCCCAUAACUCGGGGAUAGCCUUUCGAAAGAAAGAUUAAUACCCGAUAGUACUUAAGAAAGGCAUCUUUUUUAAGUUAAAGAUUUAUUGGUUAUGGAUGGGGAUGCGUUCCAUUAGAUAGUUGGUGAGGUAACGGCUCACCAAGUCUUCGAUGGAUAGGGGUUCUGAGAGGAAGGUCCCCCACAUUGGUACUGAGACACGGACCAAACUCCUACGGGAGGCAGCAGUGAGGAAUAUUGGUCAAUGGGCGAGAGCCUGAACCAGCCAAGUAGCGUGAAGGAUGAAGGUCCUAUGGAUUGUAAACUUCUUUUAUAGUAGAAUAAAGUGAACCACGUGUGGUUUUUUGUAUGUAUACUAUGAAUAAGGAUCGGCUAACUCCGUGCCAGCAGCCGCGGUAAUACGGAGGAUCCGAGCGUUAUCCGGAUUUAUUGGGUUUAAAGGGUGCGUAGGCGGAAUAAUAAGUCAGUUGUGAAAGUUUGCGGCUCAACCGUAAAAUUGCAGUUGAUACUGUUAUUCUUGAGUGUACAUAAGGUAGGCGGAAUUCGUGGUGUAGCGGUGAAAUGCUUAGAUAUCACGAAGAACUCCGAUUG